CAAUCAUGGAAGGAGAGGCUUCAGUUGAGUGUCAAGAUUGGGAGCUCCUAGACAAAUCCAACGUCAACCUGACCAAUUCUGGCUAAUUUAUGUGGUGAUAGUCUAGCUUUUGGUGAUGUUGCGAAGAUGAUCGAGGGUUCUGAGUUUUUGGGUGACUAUAAGCUAAGCUACAUCAACCAUAGAUAGGUAUAAAUCCAAGAGUGGAUGGAAGGCGUCUCCGCAUUACAAUGUUUCUGUAUUAAAGGAUGUCCUCAACUAUCAGAAAGAUGCAAAAACAACAUGGGUGUUGAUUGGCCCAAGAUUGCUUGUAUCCUAAAUAUUAGUAUUCAUGGAAGAUGGAUUCAAGAGGAUGGCUGCUACCAACUAUGAUUUGAAGCAUCAGACUUCUCAUGGGAAUUGGUUGGAACUUUUAUCACCCAAUGCAUGUUUUAAGUGAGAUCUAGCGCUAGUUAAAGUUGGGUUAAGAUUGCAGUUGAUGAUCAAAUCUGACAAGCAUGCUCAAGGAAUUUGCUUUUGUAUUUUUCAAGUCUGGAAUGCAUGACUAUUACCCUCUCAAAUUGGUUAGCAUCUUAAGUGGCAAUAUGUUCUGCGAAAUUAUUAACCUGCAAAGAAAUGGAAGUGUUCCCAUAUAAGUUUGAGUGAGCUACGGAAACUCAAAUGAGCAUUAUGCAACUCUUGUAUCUUUAAUUUUGGACUUUGGAAAUUGAUGAUGGCUCUGCUUGUUGAAAGAUUCCAAAGAAGAGCAAUUUGGGAUUGGCCCCUCAUAUGCCAGUGCCAGAAAGUCUUAGUUUAUUACUAUGAAUGUACACAUGUGGCUGCUUGAAAAUUAAGGAGUAAUUUGAUCAUCUAGCUCAUCUGCAAUAAUUUGUUAAAGGCCUGAAGCAACAUCUGAUUCAAGCAUAUUUAAGGGUCAUAAUAAUGAAAGGUUCAAUGAUGCCGACUAGCUGAGACCUGAUCAAUUGAUUAUUUAUAUGAAUUUGGAAUUCCCUAUAUAGGAAUCUUCUUAAUGCCUCGCUGCAUGAAAGCUCAGUUUCUUUUUCUAUGUGGCUUGGCUUAGCCCCACCUAAAGUGGAAGUUCUGGUCUGGUUAGCUUGCCGGGGUUGUUUGUGUACAAAAGAUUGGCUGUGUAAUAUUGGCAUCAUUCCCUCUUCCUGAAAUCAAUGCACUUGUUGCCUGGUCAAAAUUGAGACAGUUUCUCACAUUUUUCUUGGCUGUCGGCACUCUUGGCUUAUUGGAAUUGGUUCCUUAACAUUAUGUUUGUCUUCCAAACUCCUUACCUUCCUUUUUUCAUGAACGGGGAACGUUAAUUCAUGGAAGCUUUCAACAGAAAUUCUGGAUCAGUCUAUUCCAUGCCAUAGUGUGGUCUAUCUGGUUAUCAAGAAACGGCAAGGUUUUCAAUAUGGCAAGGACAUCCCCACCUCCUUCUCUCUUUGCACUUUAAUCCUCCACUGCCUUUCCACUUCGAUGAAAGCAUUGGAUGCUAACUUCCCAUUCUCAGGAACUGACCUCCUUAUUACUUCUGUCACAAUCAGGUCUCCCCCCCCACUACAUGGCUCAAAUGGAAUGUUAAUGCCUCUUCCUUGGGCAAACCUGGUAAAAGUGCUAUUGAAGGGGUCUUUCUUUAGGAACUAAAAUGCCAUGUAUUUUCUCUUGUCCUUCGGGGAUCUUGAAAUCUAAUGAAGCUGAAAUUAAGGUCAUCCUCGAAGCUUUAGAGCUGUCAUCUUCUUCGCCAGCACUUGGAUGUAGCUCUUCCCCAAUCCUCAUUGAGUUCGACUCAGCACUCAGCUCCCAGGGUCUGAAUGGUUUGGAAGAUUUUGUGGCAAUCCUUUAAUGGCUACCUUUUGCCUUGCCCCUAGUUGUUAUGUUUAUUGCCUGCUGUAUCUUCUUUCUGAAUCGAGUGGAUGUUGCUUUUGGAUUUGACUUACUUUUGCUCUGUGUCUCUUUUUGGAGGAUAGUGUCUUCAUGUGUCACAGUAUCUGUCAUGUCUAGCUAGUGUUUUGGUCAUUAGAUAUUUGAAGACUUUUGGACCUUGUGUUGUUUUUAUGGCUUGUUUUGGAUUGUAUUGCAUUUUGUCAGUCUUGUUUUGUCCUUCCAGGUUUUUCCAUUUAGCAUGCCGUGUCCUAGGUCGGGUGCUCUGAGGAGGUCUAUUGACCUGGGUUUAGUUCGGACGUGUUUAUGCUAAAUUUUUCCUGGGAGUUGCUGACAAAUCUCACAUGACUCCAACAACUUUAUAUUCAGUAUUGUCCAUGGAUAACAAAAGUGUCUUCUGCUUUGCAGCAUCUAACCUCUCUUGAGAUUCUUGUCUUUGUGGCUUGCAAGGAGCUUGAUUUAUCUGAUUCAGGGGAUCAUAGUGAUAUGCCAUGGCAGUGCCUUAGAAGUUUCCGAGAGCUUCUACUUGGAAGUUUGUUCAAAUUGGCGUCACUCCACGCUCUGCGAAAACUCACAAUAAAAAAUUGUACUAAUUGAUAUCUUUACUGGAGUGGAUG
rnacentral:misc_RNA from 1 species